UGUCAAACUACCUACCUACGAGCUACGACUGUGUUAUUGCAAUAAAAAUAAAUAAUACUUUAACCAUAUGCGACUCAUGUUCUCGUCGACGUUUGAGUAACACAAAGAGGACCUAAUUGUUGAUGUACUGCUCGUCUGCAAUAUGUUUUUCUGUAUUCUAAUUUACAUAGCUCCAAGUUAUUCUUUGUGUUGUUUUCCGCCAUGUUCCAAGACCUCAAGGACAAACUAAAUGUAUAAAUAUUAACGAAAUAAAAAAACUGUAUCAGUGCGAUUGCUCAAUCUAAGGGAGGUAGAAGCAUCUCCACCUUCAAUACUCUACAUUACCACAACUGUUAUUAACCUAAAAUGUUUGCUAAGUUGAUUAUCCUCUUCACUAUUGUUGCCCUAGCUAUGGCUCGGCCGCAGCUAUACUCCGGGUACGGCUAUAAUAAUUACCCGGCUAGCUAUCCAGGAUAUGCUGGUUAUUCCGGCUAUUCCAAUCCGGUAGCUUACUCUGGAGGAUACGGAGGAUAUUCGGGCUACCCUUACAAUUACGGCUAUGGGUAUUACUGAUUGAAAACAUAAAAUUACUUUUUUACCAAUGUUACCUUUAUGUUAAAUAUUGACAUUUCCUUUUUGAUUUCAUUUAUUUUCAUUUUAAGAAUAAAAUAAAUAUGUAUUUAAUGAU